AUCCAUCUCACUAGUCCCAAAUAGGACGAAACGCGCGUCAAACUGGAU
rfam:Schistosoma mansoni strain Puerto Rico chromosome 6, complete genome